CUGCCCCAGUUUAGCCAGAUAAGAGUAUUUCUGUGAUGCCCGCGGAUUAGCAGUGACGCUCGUUUCACUCUGUUUUUCCCAGGCAGAAAGGGGCAGCUGGUUGGGUGUUUCACUCUAGGAGAUUGCAGAGAGCAGAUCGGAUCAGCCGUCCCCUGGGGCAGGACCCUGGUGGGGGCAGAGAUGUGAUAGCAUGAGCCUCAAGAUGGAAGGGCAGCCUGCCAGUGGGAGCUGGGGCCUUCUCACAGUCCCUUGGAGGGGGGGAAAGACAAGGAGGAGAGACACCCCGGCCAGCCAGGCUCUCAGCUUUCCUCAGAUGAAAGGUCUCACCCAGGUGCUCGAGUUAUGCUGAUGAAGGCUCCGCACUAAGGCUGGCAGAGAGACAUGAGUAACAACACGGGCCAGCGCACUGCAAUCUUCCUGGUUCUCUUUGCUUUGAUCAUGCUGCUGAUCAUCUACAGCUCGAACAGUGGGAACGAAGUUUUUCAUUACACCGCCCUGCGGGGAAAAUCCCAUCGUCCCCCCAACUUCAGGAAAUGGGGGGUGAAAAGUGGCUACCUCCCCAUCUAUGGAAACAAGACCCUGAAUUCCCAUUGCCACCAGUGUGUGAUCAUCACCAGCUCCAGCCACCUGCUCGGGAGCAAACUGGGCUCAGAGAUCGACCAAUCGGAGUGCGUCAUCCGCAUGAACGACGCCCCCACCACCGGCUACGAGGCAGACAUGGGCAACAAGACCACAAUCCGGGUGGUGGCUCACUCCAGUGUCUACAGGGUGCUGAAGAGGCCACAGGAGUUUGUCAACAAGACCCCGGAGACUAUCCUCAUCUUCUGGGGGCCACCCAGCAAGAUGCAGAAGAGCCUGCUCAAGAUCCUCCAGCGCGUCAGCAUGUCCUUCCCCAACGUGUCGGCCUACGUGGUCUCCCCUGGGCGCAUGAAGCAGUUCGACGACUUGUUCCGGGGAGAGACGGGGAAGGACAGGGAGAAGUCCCGGUCGUGGCUGAGCACAGGCUGGUUCACCAUGGUGAUUGCUGUGGAGCUGUGUGACAAGGUGCAUGUUUACGGGAUGGUCCCCCCUAACUACUGCAGCAGGAGACCUCAGCCGGGCAAGAUGGCAUAUCACUACUACGAGCCCAAGGGCCCGGAUGAGUGCACCACCUACAUCCACAAUGAGCGCAGCCACAAGGGCAACCACCACCGCUUCAUCACGGAGAAAUGGGUCUUUGCCAGCUGGGCCAGCCUCUACAACAUCACCUUCUCCCACCCGGCCUGGGACUAGGGGCUCCCCUAGGAGACAUGGAGCCAUUCGAGUGCCCAACCCAGCAGCUGGUGCCAGUAGUGGCAUAACUCCACCUGGAUGGGAAAACAUCUCUUGGUUAACCCUGUGAGCCAGGCUGGGCUCUGAAGGAGGAGGCCCCGCACUACAGGCUGUCCAGGGCCAGAAGGAUUGGGUGAGGGGAGGAAGGGACUGGGCUGGUUCCAGUGACCUGGCCUGCAGUCCCAAGGGUCAGGGAGUCCUGCUACACACCGGGCACUGCUGGAUUCAUGGUGUCCCCUUCCCCCCCACAGGCCACACACCUAGUGCACAUCACUGGUUCCCUGCUUUGAGGUCACCUCACUCCCUCGCCGGCGAUCAGCUCAGAGGCCCAAGAGUGAGUGGGAACAAUCGCUGGGUGCCCAGAUGGAACGGCUGACCCCUACUUAAUGCUCUGGUGGCGGCUCUGGUCUCGCCUCUCUUGGCUUCUGGAGAGUGUAUUUCCGAGGUGGGAGGACUGUAACUCUCUCAGCUCUCCUAGGCUCAACUUUAUACUGAGUACCCGAAAGGCUGUAUCUGCUGUACAGUGCAACCCUGCUCCAGGCAGCCUCUGCCUUGCGAAACUACCACCUGCAUCUCCAAGUUUCCAGUGAGGCCUAUAAGAGACCAGCCUCAGGGGCGUAGACUUCUCAGGAGCUGCACGGAUGGUGUCACAACAGCAUGGGGGAAAGCAUUUGUUCAUUUGCUCCUGGUGCUGUGCAGGCAGCCAGAGGAACGUGAUGUUUUGCUUGUAGAUCCACAGAUAGUGACUACUGGCUUUUUUUUUUUCUUCCUUUUUUAAUCAGUUUUUCAGCCAUGGAGUCAUGGAUUUAAAAAACCAAACACGCGGGGUACUAAGAAUCCAGUUGGCUUAUGUUCAAAUGCAGCCUUACAGGACUCCUGGAUUCUGUUCUUGACGCUGCAGCCUCCCUGUGCCUCAGUUUCCCACCAGUCAAAGGGAAGUCGUGAUCAUAAUAGAGCUCACAGGGCCAUUGUGAGGCUUAAUUCACUGUGUGAGAUCCUCACAUACAUGGUGUGCAAAGGUUUCUUAGAGCCUGGUUAGAUUAUACCAAUGUAAAAGUGUUGGUUGUUGAGCCUAGACUACCUGCCAGAGCCCCUUUAAGGGGUUCAAAGUACUAGAAUGUCCAGGUUAAAGGAGCACAGUCGCUCUGUGCCAGAUCCUCAGCUCAGCUAGCCGGGGGGCAGGCCCUCUCUGACUGCAGGUCCCCUCACUCAGCACAGAGGCCCAGAUCCUCGUGAGCUGCUGUGAAGUGUCAAUAUAACACAUCUGGUAGCCUGGACCUGUGUUACUGCUUCUUAGGGACCCCCUGUAUCUGGGAUUGUCUGUCAAAUCAGCAAGGAGUGAAUGUUUUGUAACGCUUUGUAAGGGAAUAAAUAUUGCUAUGAUCUUA